CCGUUGGAUGAAAACAGAGGGCUCGGUUUGGUUGCUACAAUGUUUAUCACAUUUCAUGAUUCCCCUCAUAUAAACAGUACACGUUUACAGCAAUGUAGACGAUCCAGAUCCCAGCGAAGCAGAAUUAGCAAUGGCAAUGAAGGAAGCUGCAUGCGUACGCGGUGCAAGGGAAGAGGCAAACACAUGAUGAAGGUAGAAGAACUACCAUUGCGUGUAUAUGUGCGCAUCGUGUUCCUCAUGCCUUCCAGGCCCAG
rnacentral:lncRNA from 1 species